GUCGGGAGCCCUCCCACCAGCCAGUGUGCUGGGUUCUAGGGCCGCUUGCAUGAACUCAUAAUUCACUGCUUGAAACAACUCCGUGCACACCAUUUCCCAGCGAGGGGUCCGGGCAGGCCCAGCUGGCCGAGUCUGCUGCGCCACGCGGCCUCCUCGGGAUCACUUGGGCCGGGCGCUGGGCUGGGGGGUCCACGCUGGCUUCGCCCCCACCCCUGGCACCUGGGUGCGGACAGUGGAAGGCCGAGCCCCGCUGGGCACCUUUUCUCCUCUGUGGCCUUGGAGCCUCUGCGCUCUUUCCACCAAGGGAGUUGGACCCAACGUUGUGCCCCAGGCUCCCUCAGACCACGGGGGAAGGUGCCAGUCCUCCUGACACGAGAGCCAGAAAUGCCAGAGUGCCACUCCACGUGUGGUCCAGCGAGGGGAAGCGGAUCCUGUCUGUCAGGAUGGGGACUGUGGCAGCAUGUGCCCACGGUCCUCAGGGACUGUUUCUCUCACAGGCUUGUCUAGCGCCACGGUUUGCAGCAGAAGAGACGGCGGAGGGAGAGAGCGUCCACCUUCGCCCCCACCCUGCUCCCCGCCGAAACCAAGCGUCUCAACCCGGGAACCCCGAGGCCCGGGCUGGCGGUCGCUGCAGAUGCCCAGAGGGCCCGAUCCGCCGGACCCACAGGCGCACCCGGGCCCAGGCCCGCCCGCAGGCAGCUCUGAGCACUCCUAAGGACGCGAGGUCCGCUCUGCACCGCGGGGCUUCGCCUCAGAGCGGGCGCGAGGACGGGCGCAAUCCAAGAUCCCACUGCAUGGUGACUGACAAUGGGGUAUUGGUGUUUAAGGCUGACUUUACCUCGGUGAGUCCUUUGAUGAAGAUACACCAACACCCUCUCUGCACAUCCACGGCUCCUUCCUCAGCCUUUCGGUAUUGCAUUGGACGCUUCCGCUUCUCUCUGCAGUUCUGGGGCGGGCCUAGGCUCCUCCUGAAUGACUCACAUAGACUCAGAACCUUUCCCCAAAAGCACAGCCUUGGCUCCACAGUCAGUGGGGUGCAGCCAGAGCACAGCAUGGCCCUCCCUUGGUGCCACCAGUCUCCUGCCUUUUAGGUUUCUCAAGGGUACAUCGCCCUACACCCCAGGGAUUCACAUUGGGCUUCUGAAGCGGCCUCUUAGGAGCCCUUUUCACUAAUGUGGAAGUAAAGGAAAGGCAACUCCAGCUCCAGCGGGGAGGAUUUUGUUCUGAUUUUCUCUUCAGUCACCAAUAAUUUUCUUGGUCUCUCCAAAUUCUAAUAGACUGCAAGGCAGCUGGUGAAUUGAGAAUUGCAAAAGGUUUUUUAAAAGUAGUUCCACUGAGGUAUACUGUGCGUAUAAUUCACUCACUUAAAUGUGAAAUCCAAUGGCUUUAAGUGUGUUCUUAAGAGUUCUGCAGCCAUUACCACAAAUGAUUUUGGAACGUUUUCAUCAGCCCCUGACACAACUCCCCUAUCCAUUAGCACCACCCAAUCCUAGGCAAGCACUGAUCUUUCUGUGCCGAUGGACUUGGCCAGUUUAGACAUUGUAUAUGAGUGGAAUCACAUAGUAUGAGCACAUCUAUUACUGGCUCCUUAUGCUUGGGAUGAUACUUUCAAGGUUUAUCCAUGUUGUAGCAUGAAUCAGAACCAUAUUCUUUUUAAUUGCCAAAGAAUAUUUAUUGUAUAGAGGAGUGUCUAUUCAUAUUCUUUGCUCAUAUUUUAAAGUUGAUUUCGCCUCGAUUGUGUUUUAAGAGUCAUUUCUGUAUUCUAAAUAAAAGUCUCUAUCACAUAUAAUUUGCAAGAAAAAAUUUCUCCCAUUCCAUGGGUUGUCUUGUCUUUGUAAAAUUGUAAAUUGUAUUUCAACUAGUACAUAAAAAUGUAAAAUUAUGUAUAUUAAUGAUGUAAUAUGAUGUUUUGGUACUUGUACUACAUUGCAUAAUGUUUAAAUCAGAUUAAGCCAUUCA
rnacentral:lncRNA from 1 species